UGAUGAAACUUUAUUCGGAAAUCUCUGCACAUCUUUGAUGAUUUUUGUUGAACCUUCUCCAUCUGAUGACUGUGGCAGUGUCAUU